CUUCGAAGUCCAAGUUGAUUUGGAACGCCGACAAGUUAAACCCCACGUUGUCAUAUGUGCUUACCGGCGUAGAAGGCAAAUUGCACAGCAUAACAUACAUACUGUUCCGUCUACAUUCACCGUCUAUGCAGCAGGAGGAACAUCAACAGUAGGUCCAUUUGGCUUGUCAAAAUGACAGACGUAACGAUAACAAAGUAUUUUGGAUCUAGGAUAAGAGAGAAACACGAGAUUUCCCUCGGUCCAAUGUACAACACACUCUCCCACCAGCAACUUAUUUAUAGAGCUACACCGAAAUUUUUUUUUCAAACACCAGCAUCGACUAUCCCGAUCAGUCGGUUGCAUUGUUGGUUGUUGGGUACGACGCGACCACGCACUGGAUCCAUGACCUAUUUCCCGUGUUUGUCAACAACACCUUCCUUCCAUUGCGGCUUGGACGGCCGCGUCGUUUGGUCACCGAAUACCUGUACUAAUUAUAAAUUUAACAAUAUAAAUAAGGAUUUGACCGUUUGUCUCUAAUCAACUUGUCUCAGUACACAGGAAGCUUUAAAAGGUGGCAAGAUGUUUGGGUUUGCGUUCACCGUUUUCGUCCUCUUGACUAGCAGCCAAAUGACAAUGGGACAAAAUUUUUUUUAUAUGGCAGAAAUAAAUGGACGGCGCGGAUACAACUCCACUGAAACGAACUGUCCAAAUUUUGCCAUUUACCUUAUUUUGCUCCUGGUCUACUUUCUUAAAUUGCUCCACGAUUAAUCAAUCCAAAGCCUACUGUUUCAGUAUUAUAAACCCUCCUAUAUUUUUACAAUGUAUAUUAUUAAUAUUAAUAAAUAAACAAACGUAUUCUUAAGUAUUAUUAA